rnacentral:rRNA from 1 species
GACGAACGCUGGCGGCGUGCCUAAUACAUGCAAGUAGAACGCUGAAGGAGGAGCUUGCUUCUCUGGAUGAGUUGCGAACGGGUGAGUAACGCGUAGGUAACCUGCCUGGUAGCGGGGGAUAACUAUUGGAAACGAUAGCUAAUACCGCAUAAGAGUAGAUGUUGCAUGACAUUUGCUUAAAAGGUGCAAUUGCACCACUACCAGAUGGACCUGCGUUGUAUUAGCUAGUUGGUGAGGUAACGGCUCACCAAGGCGACGAUACAUAGCCGACCUGAGAGGGUGAUCGGCCACACUGGGACUGAGACACGGCCCAGACUCCUACGGGAGGCAGCAGUAGGGAAUCUUCGGCAAUGGACGGAAGUCUGACCGAGCAACGCCGCGUGAGUGAAGAAGGUUUUCGGAUCGUAAAGCUCUGUUGUAAGAGAAGAACGAGUGUGAGAGUGGAAAGUUCACACUGUGACGGUAGCUUACCAGAAAGAGACGGCUAACUACGUG